rnacentral:rRNA from 1 species
AGAGUUUGAUCCUGGCUCAGGAUGAACGCUGGCGGCGUGCUUAACACAUGCAAGUCGAACGAGAGAAGAUUGGUGCUUGCACUGAUCCGAUCGAGUGGCGGACGGGUGAGUAACGCGUGGGUAACCUGCCUCAUACAGGGGAAUAACAGUUGGAAACGGCUGCUAAAACCGCAUAAGCGCACAGUAUCGCAUGAUACAGUGUGAAAAACUCCGGUGGUAUGAGAUGGACCCGCGUCUGAUUAGCUAGUUGGUGAGGUAACGGCCCACCAAGGCGACGAUCAGUAGCCGGCCUGAGAGGGUGAACGGCCACAUUGGGACUGAGACACGGCCCAAACUCCUACGGGAGGCAGCAGUGGGGAAUAUUGCACAAUGGGGGAAACCCUGAUGCAGCGACGCCGCGUGAGCGAAGAAGUAUUUCGGUAUGUAAAGCUCUAUCAGCAGGGAAGAAGAAUGACGGUACCUGACUAAGAAGCACCGGCUAAAUACGUGCCAGCAGCCGCGGUAAUACGUAUGGUGCAAGCGUUAUCCGGAUUUACUGGGUGUAAAGGGAGCGCAGGCGGUGCGGCAAGUCUGAUGUGAAAGCCCGGGGCUCAACCCCGGUACUGCAUUGGAAACUGUCGUACUAGAGUGUCGGAGGGGUAAGUGGAAUUCCUAGUGUAGCGGUGAAAUGCGUAGAUAUUAGGAGGAACACCAGUGGCGAAGGCGGCUUACUGGACGAUAACUGACGCUGAGGCUCGAAAGCGUGGGGAGCAAACAGGAUUAGAUACCCUGGUAGU